rnacentral:rRNA from 1 species
GAUGAACGCUGGCGGCGUGCUUAACACAUGCAAGUCGAACGAAGCAUUUGCGACAGAUUUUUUCGGAAUGAAGUUGCUUAUGACUGAGUGGCGGACGGGUGAGUAACGCGUGGGUAACCUGCCUUGUACUGGGGGCUAGCAGCUGGCAACGGCUGGUAAUACCGCAUAAGCGCCCAAUGUUGCAUGACAUGGUGUGACAACUCCGGUGGUAUUCGACGGACCCUUAUCUGGUUAGCAAGGUGGCGUGAUAACAGCGCAACAAGGCGACGAUGAGCAGACUAGAAGUGAGGGUGACCGGCCACAUUGGGACUGAGACACAGCCCAGACUCCUACGGGAGGCAGCAAUGGGGAAUAGUGCAAAAUCGAGGAAACUCUGAAGCAGCGACGCCGCGUGAGUGAAGAAGUAAGUCGUGAUGAAAAGCUCUAGCAACAGGGAAGAUAGUGACGGUACCUAACUAGGAAGCUCCGGCUAAAUACGUG